AUUGAACGCUGGCGGCAGGCCUAACACAUGCAAGUCGAGCGAGCGGCGGACGGGUGAGUAAUGUCUGGGAAACUGCCUGAUGGAGGGGGAUAACUACUGGAAACGGUAGCUAAUACCGCAUACCCUCAGAUGUGCCCAGAUGGGAUUAGCUAGUGGGUGGGGUAAUGGCUCACCUAGGCGACGAUCCCUAGCUGGUCUGAGAGGAUGACCAGCAAAAUGGGAACUGAGACACGGUCCAGACUCCAACGGGAGGAAGAAGUGGGGAAUAUUGCACAAUGGGGGCAAGCCGGAUGCAGCCAUGCCGCGGGUGGGAAGAAGGCCUUCGGGUUGUAAAGCACUUUCAGCGGGGAGGCGUUACCCGAAGAAGAAGCACCGGCUAACUCCGUGCCAGCAGCCGCGGUAAUAC
rnacentral:rRNA from 1 species